rnacentral:ncRNA from 1 species
UUGGUUAGAACUCCAGUUAAUCCGUCACCGCAACGGUGUCGGGCGAGGGUCGUCACGCCGGCAACGACCCCUUUCGGCGAAAGCUUCGCCAGGCCUCCCCUGGGGGCCAACGGGACAUAACAGUCAAC